CCCGCCUCGUCCCGCGUCCCGCCCCGCGGCUCUCCCUCCCCCACUGCUGGCGCUCCUCCGCAGGCCGGGAGCGGCGCUGGGCCGGGGUCAGCUGGCUGCCUUUGUGGCUGCUUCCCAGGAAGGAAGAAGCGCUGUCUGCAGAUCAGUUAUCAGCUGGCUUUCCUGUGCCGGAGCGCCGCCGUUUUCCGGGGACGGCUGCCACCCCCGGGAUUCCCAGCCCAGGCUGCCGGCGGAAUCUAAAGAUGGGCUCCUUGGCUGUGCACUAAAUGUUUUGACUGGAGAGAGGCCCUGUGUGGCUAACUCAGUUCCUCCAAUGCUGUAUCUAGUCCCUUGUUCUGACCUUGACCUGAAUGUUUGGCAAAGCUGUGAAAUGAAAGGCAAGAAUAGAAAAACAAGCAAAGGAAAUGAAAAGAAAACAUGCAUUCAGGGUAACCCCGUGAGGUGCUCAGGUGUCUGAUGGUCAAGUUUCCGUUACAGUUGGGCCCCAGCACACAGAGCAGCAACCUGACAUUCCUUCUCAAAAGGAAUCUCAUUAUUAUUAUUAUUAUUAUUAUUAUUAUUUGAAUAAGAAGCAUAAACGUAAACAAUCAUUCUGAUGGAGUCUGAUUAGGGUUUUCAUCCUAUAGGGCUCGUGAAUAUUAACUUCAUUUGUAGGUGGAAGUGUUAGAUUUAGAAAGAUCAGAAAUGGGUAAGUAUGAGCAAACCCCUAUUUGUGUGACUCUUUUGGGGAAUGGUAUGGCAGCUUCCUACUACAUGUCCUACUACCAGUCACCAAGGAAACCAUGUAUAGGUGGACAGCUGGCUGAUUUUGUUCUUUAUUUAGUCAUUGUCAGUCAGUGAAUAGCUGUAGUACUUGCUCUGGGCUAUGGACAAGUAACCCACACACUUUGUCCAUCAUCUGGGAACUUAAGAAGUCUAGGGAAGAUUAGAAAGAAAAAGUAUAUGAACUUGUGACUCAGACAUGCUGGGGCUGAUCAGGCUGGGGUCAUGGGCAUCUCUGUCUGAGUUGCUUUGCAUGGUGGGGAAAGAGCCAGUGAGGGCAAGGUUUGUGGUCAGCACUUGUGGGGAGCUUAGGAUGCAGGAGGGACAAAGAGGUUGAAUUGGUGAAGGGUGGCAGAAUGUGCCAUCCCCAAAUCUGCCAUUUUGACACCAGGAUUACAUAGAGCAAAAGGAACUUGAAAAACAGCAGAUGCAAGAAGGGCCUUCUAAUCUUCCUCCUUUCUUCUUGAGAACAGGAGAUAAAGACUCCCCUGUGAAAGAUGCCCUCCCUGUACCAGGAGAAAGGAAACAUUUUUUGAUGAGGAGUCAUAGCCAAGAGAAUUCUGCACAAACAGACCUUGUUCAAAACAAUUCUUAUCUUCCUUGAGCCUCUGUGUAUGAUUUUGUUAUUUUUGCACUCUUCUCUCUCUUUGUUCAGUCUAAUACAAAAGUAUGUAGGUUUGCCUUUUCUUUAGGUCUUCAUUUCCGGAUGAGUUUAUAGUGUCACGGAAAACAGGUUAGAUCUGUAUGGUUUUGUCCUAUUGAUCUGUCUUAUGUCAAUUCAAUUCUUACACUCAGCCAGGACCCUAAGAGGGUAGAAGUUAAACUUUGUCUGCUUUACAAUGCUGACAACAUCAAGGCCAUCCCAUAGCUUGGGCAUGUGUCCUACAGAGGGAGGGCCCUCCAGCUUCUAGGAAAUGGGGGCAGGAGCUCUGCUUUGCACUCCCCCUCAGAUCAUGGGAGGCUUUGCCUGCAUGACAGCUGUUCCUGCAUCACUCCAUUCUGCAGCCUGGGGAACCCCCACCUCCACAUCAUCCUCUGAGUGAUGGCUUUCAUUAUUGGUCUCAGGAUUAUUCAUGGAACAUGAUACCAGCCAUGGAAAUAGAAGUCAGGGGGUCCAGAGAAGCCCACCUAAGAAGGUCUAGUUAGUUCUGUGAGCCCAGGAGAGAACCUGUCUGUCGAGUCCUGGGCUUAAAAUUGAUAGUGAUGAAAGAGAUAUGUUUGAGGGGUAGGCAACUUUUGAUAUCCUCAUGGGCUAGAAAACCACCCUUAUGAGACACAGACAUUGUAUAGUAUAUCUGAUGAGCCCAAUAAUGUACAAAAGUCUUAAACUUUGUCAAUAGAGAAAAUUUAAUUGUGA